AUCAAAAUUAGAAACAGAAUUGUUAGAACCCAAUACUAAGAAUUUGUCAAGAAUGUAUAACUUGCUGCUGAAAUGGAAUACUCAAGAUGAAACGGUAAAAUCGGCUAUGAUUAAAUGGGCACAGGACGUAGGGACAUAACAUUAUGUUUGCUGACUGGGAACAGUUAUGGACCACAGGUAUGAAAUUUACGGCAUGUAAUGCCUUAAGAGAGAAUAUUAUGAAAAUGAUAUACAGUGGUGCCCGCAAGACGAACGCCUCGCAAAACGAAAAACUCGCAAGACGAAAGGUUUUUCGUUUUCGGAGUUGCUUCGCAAGACGAAUGUCCCUAUGGGCUUGCUUCGCAAGACGAAAACGUCUUGCAAGUUUGUUUCCUUUUUCGUAAAACCGUUAAAACCCAGGGUGCAUUGCUUGAAGAGGUGCAGUUGCGACUUGACCUCGAGGAGCAACACAUUGCACGCGGUGUGGUGGCCUUUCUGAGCUUUUUAAAGAGUUUGCUGGAUUUUUGAAGCUUUUCCAAAACUUCUUCUACAGCUGUUUGGUAAGUUGAACUUUUAAAACUUUUUUGGGGUUUUUGGGAUUUUGGGUUGGGGUGUUUAGAAUUCAAGGACUUGGUGUUGGGGAGAGGUUUGCAAGAAUCUGGGAGCUUGUGUGGUUUUUUUGUGCAUUUUUAUGAUUUUAUGUGACCAUUGGGCCAUGUUUAUUUUUUUUUAAAAAAAAUCUGGCUUUGAAUUUUUGAAUUUCUGUGUGCUGGGUGGAUGGGGGAACAGCUGGGGAGGUGUUUGCAAGAAUCUGGGAGCUUGUGUGCUUUUUUUUGAAUUUUUAUGAUUUUUUGUGACCAUUGGGCCAUGUUGUUGUUUUUUGAAAAAGUUUCUGGGUUUUGAAUUUCUGUGUGCUGGGUGGAUGGGGAACAGCUGGGGAGGUGUUUGCAAGAAUCUGGGAGCUUGUGUGCUUUUUUUUUGAAUUUUUAUGAUUUUUGUGACCAUUGGGCCAUGUUGUUGUUUUUUGAAAAAGUUUCUGGGUUUUAAAUUUCUGUGUGCUGGGUGGAUGGGGGAACAGCUGGGGAGGUGUUUGCAAGAAUCUGGGAGCUUGUGUGCUUUUUUUUGAAUUUUUAUGAUUUUUGUGACCAUUGGGCCAUGUUGUUGUUUUUUGAAAAAAGUUUCUGGGUUUUAAAUUUCUGUGUGCUGGGUGGAUGGGGGAACAGCUGGGGAGGUGUUUGCAAGAAUCUGGGAGCUUGUGUGCUUUUUUUUGAAUUUUUAUGAUUUUUUGUGACCAUUGGGCCAUGUUGUUGUUUUUUGAAAAAAGUUUCUGGGUUUUGAAUUUCUGUGUGCUGGGUGGAUGGGGGAACAGCUGGGGAGGUGUUUGCAAGAAUCUGGGAGCUUGUGUGCUUUUUUUUGAAUUUUUAUGAUUUUUUUGUGACCAUUGGGCCAUGUUGUUGUUUUUUGAAAAAAGUUUCUGGGUUUUAAAUUUCUGUGUGCUGGGUGGCUGGGGGAACAGCUGGGGAGGGGUUUGCAAGAAUCUGGGAGCUUGUGUGCUUUUUUUUGAAUUUUAUGGUUUUCUGUAACCAUUGGGCCAUGUUGUUGUUUUUUAAAAAAUUUUCUGGUUUUUAAAUUUCUGUGUGCUGGGUGGCUGGGGGAACAGCUGGGGAGGGGUUUGCAAGAAUCUGGGAGCUUGUGUGCUUUUUUUUGAAUUUUUAUGGUUUUCUGUAACCAUUGGGCCAUGUUGUUUUUUUUUGAAAAAGUUUCUGGGUUUUGAAUUUCUGUGUGCUGGGUGGCUGGGGGAACAGCUGGGGAGGGGUUUGCAAGAAUCUGGGAGCUUGUGUGCAUUUUUUUGAAUUUUUAUGGUUUUUGUGACCAUUGGGCCAUGUUGUUGUUUUUUGAAAAAGUUUCUGGGUUUUAAAUUUCUGUGUGCUGGGUGGAUGGGGGAACAGCUGGGGAGGUGUUUGCAAGAAUCUGGGAGCUUGUGUGCUUUUUUUUUAAUUUUUAUUUUUUUUGGUGACCAUUGGGCAUUUUUGUUGUUUUUGUAAAAAAGUUUCUGGGUUUUAAAUUUCUGUGUGCUGGGUGGCUGGGGGAACAGCUGGGGAGGGGUUUGCAAGAAUCUGGGAGCUUGUGUGCUUUUUUUUGAAUUUUUAUGGUUUUCUGUAACCAUUGGGCCAUGUUGUUUUUUGUUAAAAAGUGUAGCUUGGUUUUUACUUUCUGUGUGGGGGGUGGCGGGGGGAACAGCGGGGGAGGGGUUUGCAAGAAUCUGGGAGCUUGUGUGCUUUUUUUUAAUUUUUAUGGUUUUCGGUAACCAUUGGGCCAUGUUGUUUUUUUUUUAAAAAGUUUCUGGGUUUUGAAUUUCUGUGUGCUGGGUGGCUGGGGGAACAGCUGGGGAGGGGUUUGCAAGAAUCUGGGAGCUUGUGUGCUUUUUUUGAAUUUUUAUGAUUUUUUGUGACCAUUGGGCCAUGUUGUUUUUUUUGAAAAAAGUUUCUGGGUUUUAAAUUUCUGUGUGCUGGGUGGCUGGGGGAACAGCUGGGGAGGGGUUUGCAAGAAUCUGGGAGCUUGUGAGCUUUUUUUAAAUUUUAUGGUUUUCUGUAACCAUUGGGCCAUGUUGUUUUUUUUUGAAAAAGUUUCUGGGUUUUGAAUUUCUGUGUGCUGGGUGGCUGGGGGAACAGUUGAGGAGGGGUUUGCAACAGUUGGGGAGGGGUUUGCAACAGUUGGGGAGGGGCUGGGGGAACAGUUGAGGUUUUGAAGACUUUGGUGAUUUUUAAAGCUUUCCCAAAAUUUCUUUUGCAGCCAUUUGAGGAUUUUGAAGACUUUGGUGAUUUGCAGCCAUUUCGUAAGUUAAACUUUUAAAACUUUUUUUGGGGUUUUUGGAUUUUGGGUUGGGUGUUUGGAAUUCAAGGACUUGGUUGUGGGUUUGAAUUGCUGAUUUUUUUUUUCUUUUUCUGAGUUUUACAAAGGUAACAGCUGUGCUGCCAUGGGACCCAAGAAGACUGCUGCUGCUGCGGAGGCCGGCGAGAGGAAGAAGGAGAAGGUGACGCUGGAGAUGAAGAAGG
rnacentral:lncRNA from 1 species